rnacentral:rRNA from 1 species
UUUAGUAGUAUGUAAAAAUUAAAAUUAGUAUUAGUUAUGUUCUUGAAAAUUAAAGAUUUUGGCGGUAUUUUAGUCUUUUCAGAGGAACCUGUUCUAUAAGUGAUAGUCCACGAUUAAUUUUACUUAUUUUAUUAAUUUGUAUAACGUCGUUAAUGAAUAUUCUAUAAGGAUCAUAAUAUUCAAUAAUUUUUAUAAAAAUAAAAAUCAGAUCAUGUUGCAGUUUAUAAAUAAGGAGAAAUGGGUUACAAUAUAUAAAUAUACACGGAUUAAAUAAUUGAAAAUUUUUAUAAAGGUGGAUUUGAAAGUAAUUAUAUAUAUAUAUAUAUAAUGAUUUGAGCUCUAAAAUAUGC